rnacentral:rRNA from 1 species
GACGAACGCUGGCGGCGUGCUUAACACAUGCAAGUCGAGCGGAAAGGCCCUUUCGGGGGUACUCGAGCGGCGAACGGGUGAGUAACACGUGAGUAAUCUGCCCUUGGCUUUGGGAUAACCACCGGAAACGGUGGCUAAUACCGGAUAUGGCGGGCUCCGGCAUCGGGGUUCGUGGAAAGUUUUUUCGGCCAGGGAUGUGCUCGCGGCCUAUCAGCUUGUUGGUGGGGUAAUGGCCUACCAAGGCUUCGACGGGUAGCCGGCCUGAGAGGGUGACCGGCCACACUGGGACUGAGACACGGCCCAGACUCCUACGGGAGGCAGCAGUGGGGAAUAUUGGGCAAUGGGCGGAAGCCUGAUCCAGCAACGCCGCGUGAGGGAUGACGGCCUUCGGUUGUAACCGUACUUCUAGUACCGACGAAGCGCCGAUGAUGGUGGUGACGGUAGGUACGAGAAGAAG